rnacentral:tmRNA from 24 species
GGGGAUGCAAAGGUUUCGACGGGGUUGUGAGGUUAUAGGUAGCAAGUCAGGCUUGUCGCUGUGAGAGACUAAACACAUCUUUUAGAUGGAAACAAAGAUUACGCUUUAGCUGCUUAGUUCAGCUACACCUUGGAUAACUUAUUCUAUACGGGUUUUUCAAAGGUGUUGACUAGUAUAGAUCACCAUAAAUGAUUUCUCUAAGUUUAUGGGACAUUUUAGAGGAUAGUUUUAGUUAGCCCUGUUUACGGGAGUAAUUAUUACGAAAUUUAAUAGUAAACUAAACUUGUAGAAGCUUAUGGUCAUUAUGAUUUCGGACACGAGUUCGACUCUCGUCAUCUCCACCA